ensembl:snRNA U6 U6 spliceosomal RNA
GUGCUUUGCUUCGGAAUUACUUACACUGAAAUUGGAAGGAUACAAGGAAGAUUAGCAGGGCCCCUGCACAAAAGUGACAGUAUAACUCAGUGGCAAAAUCACCUAAA